rnacentral:rRNA from 1 species
CAGCAGCCGCGGUAAUACGUAGGUUGCAAGCGUUGUCCGGAUUUACUGGGUGUAAAGGGCGUGUAGGCGGAGAUGCAAGUUGGGAGUGAAAUCCCGGGGCUCAACCCCGGAACUGCUUUCAAAACUGCAUCCCUUGAGUAUCGGAGAGGCAAGCGGAAUUCCUAGUGUAGCGGUGAAAUGCGUAGAUAUUAGGAGGAACACCAGUGGCGAAGGCGGCUUGCUGGACGACAACUGACGCUGAGGCGCGAAAGCGUGGGGAGCAAACAGGAUUAGAUACCCUGGUAGUCCACGCUGUAAACGAUGAAUACUAGGUGUGGGAGGACUGACCCCUUCCGUGCCGCAGUUAACACAAUAAGUAUUCCACCUGGGGAGUACGACCGCAAGGUUGAAACUCAAAGGAAUUGACGGGGGCCCGCACAAGCAGUGGAUUAUGUGGUUUAAUUCGACGCAACGCGAAGAACCUUACCAGGGUUUGACAUCCAACUAACGAAGUAGAGAUACAUUAGGUGCCCUUCGGGGAAAGUUGAGACAGGUGGUGCAUGGCC